ACAGAAGGAGCUCCAUCAAGGUCACCAGCAACACCAUCUCCAACCCCAUCUCAGGGAGCUGCAUCAAGCAACUCAAGUGGAGCACCAUCAAGCAACUCCAGUGGAGCACCCGAGACUGCUAAGAAUGGGGCAACUGAAGUGAUGGCUCACUUUUUCGGAUUAGGAAUGUUUGUUGCAAUCUCUACGGUCUUCUUAAUUUCAGGCAUUGUAGGAUUUUAGGACUAGGUUUGUCUCUGGUUUUAAUUUGGUGACUUCGGUAGAACUUUGAUUUAUUUUAUCCCUUUAGUUAGGUGCUUGAGUACUCUACACAUCUGUUAAUCUGUCUUAGUUAUCUUGCUGCUUUGAGUUUUCAACUUGAUUUUCCAGAUCUUUA